rnacentral:rRNA from 1 species
GUGAGGAAUUUUCCGCAAUGGGCGAAAGCCUGACGGAGCAAUGCCGCGUGAAGGAUGAAGGCCUAUGGGUUGUAAACUUCUUUUCUCAGAAAAGAAUUAUGACGGUAUCUGAGGAAUAAGCAUCGGCUAACUCUGUGCCAGCAGCCGCGGUAAGACAGAGGAUGCAAGCGUUAUCCGGAAUGAUUGGGCGUAAAGCGUCUGUAGGUUGUUUAAAAAGUAUUCGGUCAAAGAUUAGGGCUUACCCCUAGAUAGGCAGAAUAAACUUUUAAGCUAGAGUUUGGUAGAGGCAGAGGGAAUUCCCGGUGGGGCGGUGAAAUGCGUAGAUAUCGGGAGGAACACCAAAGGCGAAGGCACUCUGCUGGGCCAAUACUAACACUGAGAGACGAAAGCGAAGGGAGCAAAUGGGAUUAGAAACCCGUGUAGUCC